rnacentral:rRNA from 1 species
GUAGGUGGCAAGCGUUGUCCGGGAAUUAUUGGGGCGUAAAGCGCGCGCAGGCGGUUCUUUAAGUCUGAUGUGAAAGCCCACGGGCUCAACCGUGGAGGGUCAUUGGAAACUGGAGAACUUGAGUACAGAAGAGGAAAGCGGAAUUCCACGUGUAGCGGUGAAAUGCGUAGAGAUGUGGAGGAACACCAGUGGCGAAGGCGGCUUUCUGGUCUGUAACUGACGCUGAGGCGCGAAAGCGUGGGGAGCAAACAGGAUUAGAUACCCUGGUAGUCCGCGCCGUAAACGAUGAGUGCUAAGUGUUAGGGGGUUUCCGCCCCUUAGUGCUGCAGCUAACGCAUUAAGCACUCCGCCUGGGGAGUACGGCCGCAAAGGCUGA